GCCACCUAAUUUAAUGUGUGCACUCCUUCCAUCCCUUAUUUCAACUUCACCAGCAACAAGACCGCAUCCCCCUUUAUAAGUUGCGAACAUGGCCUCUCUCCCUCUCAAAGACUGGAAUAGUGGUCUCUGUGAUUGCCUUCACGAUACACACACAUGCUGCUAUGGAUUCUGGUGCUGCCCCUGCAUGGCUUGCUCGAUUUCAGCAAAACAUGGAGAGAACACGUGUCUACCGCUGUGUGACAUCCUCAGCCCUGCCGUGUUGCAAGCUUGUGGGAUCCCGAUGUGUGUCCCUCCUGCAGCCUUGUCUUUGAGAACAUCCAUUCGAAAAACCUACAAUAUCAAGGGGUCCCUCUGUAAGGACGUUAUUGUUUCCUGUUUCUGCAUGUGGUGCAGCUGGUGUCAGAUGCAUCAAGAAGUUAAAGACCAAACAAUGCCUGUCGUCAAUGUUAAUGUUCACCAAACUGUUAUCCAUCAACCUGCUCCUGUGAUGGAGCAAAGCCCACCUGGGUAUUAUGUAGGUCACCAGAAGGACUUUGCACGAAUGCAAAGCGCAGAUGUCAAUUAUGUCGGUCAUCAGGGAGAAAUGGCAGCUGUGCAAAGCCCACCUGGGUAUUAUGUUCUUCACUAGUGAGACAUUGGCCAAGUGGUAAGCCCACCUGCCUAUUAAGUAAAUUCAUCCAUCCAUUUCCUACCGCUUAUUCUCUUUGAGGUUGUGGGGGGCGCUGGCGCCUAUCUCAGCUACAAUCGGGCGGAAGGCGGGAUACACCCUGGACAAGUCACCACCUCAUCGCAGGGACCCUAUGAAGUUAAUGACUGAGACAAUUAACUAACCCGGCUUCACGGUGGCAGAGGGGUUAGUGCGUCUGCCUCACAAUACGAAGUUCCUGCAGUCCUGGGUUCAAAUCCAGGCUCGGGAUCUUUCUGUGUGGAGUUUGCAUGUUCUCCCCGUGACUGCGUGGGUUCCCUCCCACUUCCAAAGACAUGCACCUGGGGAUAGGUUGAUUGGCAACACUAAAUUGGCCCUAGUGUGUGAAUGUUGUCUGUCUAUCUGUGUUGGCCCUGCGAUGAGGUGGCGACUUGUCCAGGGUGUACACUGCCUUCAGCCCGAUUGUAGCUGAGAUAGGCGCCAGCGACCC